UUUCAACUUCAGGUACAAUCA
rnacentral:piRNA from 1 species